GACAGUGUGGCCUAGUGGUUUGAGCAUUGGACUAGGAUUCUGGAGACCAGGGUUCGAUUCCCAGCUCCGCCA
rnacentral:tRNA from 1 species